AGCAGCCGCGGUAAUUCCAGCUCCAAUAGCGUAUAUUAAAGUUGUUGCAGUUAAAAAGCUCGUAGUUGAAUUUCGGGAUCAACACGUCGGUCGUGCCUUCGGUACGCACUAACGUCGUUGGUUCCUCCCUUCUGACGAACCAUGAUGUCAUUAACUUGGUGUUUUGGGGAGUUAGGACUGUUACUUUGAAAAAAUUAGAGUGUUUAAAGCAGGCUC
rnacentral:rRNA from 1 species